AGCAGACAUCUGAAUAGAGUGGUCUGUUAACACGGUCCCGGUAGGGUCCCCUCGCACAGUGUCAAAGUGGUGGAGGGCUGGAAUGGACAACCACGUCAUCUUUCCCGUCCCCCUACACUAAUGGUGCCAGCUCAGAGCUCCACCGGUGCAUCUAAAAUGUGCCAAUUUCCGCUUCGGAGCUAAAAUAAUGUCUACCAAUAGUUAUUCUGUCCAGCCCCACCAUAUUUGGCACUGUGGACUUCUCAUCUAGAAAUGCACCUCAAGGACUAUUCAAUUAUCCCUUAACUAUGCUGCUCACGACCGUGGCGCCAGCCGGUAUCUUGACGCACAGCAUAAGUGUGUCUAACUCAGCAUCAAAUAAGAGAUAUCGCAGAAAAUUGACAGUGACAAGAUGAUUCACAGGCUACAACAUAUUCAACACCCG